rnacentral:rRNA from 1 species
AAAAACAUCGUUAUUAGUUAUUAUUAAUAAUCAAGCCUGCUCACUAAUUUAUAUUAAACAGCUGCGGUAUCCUAACCGUACUAAGGUAGCAUAAUCACUUGGCUUUUAAAUGAAGUCUUGCAUGAACGGUUUAAUAUAUAACAUAAUGUCUAAUAAUUAAUUAUUGAAAUUACCAUUUCUGUCAAAAUACAGAACUAUUUCAUAAAGACAAGAAGACCCUAUGAAUUUUAUACAAGACCAUAUAAAAUUACCCCUUAUAUCGUCUUUUUAUUUUAUUGGGGCGAUAUUAAAAGAAUAUUAAUCUUUUAAUAAUUAAUUAACCUUUCAGUGUAUAAUCCAUUAAUAAUGAAAAAAGAAAAAAUUACCUUAGGGAUAACAGCGUAAUAUUCUUAUCAAGACCACAUUAACAAGAAUGCUUACGACCUCGAUGUUGGAUUAAGAUUACUAUUUAAUGCAACCAUUAAAAUAAGUUAGUCUGUUCGACUAUAAAAUUCUUACAUGAUCUGAGUUCAGA